rnacentral:rRNA from 1 species
UACAGAGGGUGCGAGCGUUGUUCGGAAUUAUUGGGCGUAAAGGGCGCGUAGGCGGCGCCACAAGUCACUUGUGAAAACUCUGGGCUCAACCCAGAGCCUGCAGGCGAAACUGUGGUGCUGGAGUAUGGGAGAGGUGCGUGGAACUGCGAGUGUAGAGGUGAAAUUCGUAGAUAUUCGCAAGAACACCAGUGGCGGAAGGCGGCUCACUGGCCCAUUACUGGACGCUGAGGCACGAAAGCGUGGGGAGCAAACAGG